rnacentral:rRNA from 1 species
AAUCAACGCUGGCGGCGUGCCUCAGACAUGCAAGUCGAACGAUUAAAGCUCUCUUCGGAGAGUGUAUAGAGUGGCGCACGGGUGAGUAACACGUAAGUAAUCUACCUUCGAGUGGGGAAUAACACCGAGAAAUCGGUGCUAAUACCGCAUAAUGCAGCGGCAUCGCAAGAUGACAGUUGUUAAAGAUUUAUCGCUUGAAGAGGAGCUUGCGGCAGAUUAGCUAGUUGGUAAGGUAAUGGCUUACCAAGGCUACGAUCUGUAACCGGUCUAAGAGGACGGUCGGUCACACUGACACUGAAUAACGGGUCAGACUCCUACGGGAGGCAGCAGUCGGGAAUUUUGGGCAAUGGGCGAAAGCCUGACCCAGCAACGCCGCGUGAAGGACGAAGUAUUUCGGUAUGUAAACUUCGAAAGAAUGGGAAGAAUAAAUGACGGUACCAUUUAUAAGGUCCGGCUAACUACGUGCCAGCAGCCGCCGCGGUAAU